GUUGAGGACAAGCAAUCAUAAAAUCAUUUGCUUGAUGUUUUCAAUUUAUUGACAGCAUUGGUGCAAAGAAGGUGAAGAAUGAAUGUAACAUAUUCAAUGAAUAUUGCGCGGCAGAAAACUCUGAGGGAUGCUUCAAGAGUUUCCAACAAAUCAAGCAAGAGUAUACAAUUUUGAAGAAGAAGCUUGAAACUUAUUUCCAGAUAGCAAGAGAAGCUGCUAAAACUAAGUGAUUAUUGAGAAUGGUGCUGAAAUGUUAUAUAAUUAAUAAAUAUUAUCUUUAAUUAGUAGUAUUUGGAAGCAUUGUUUUCUUUAAUAAAUAUUCCAUAAUGUAAAAGAGUCAUGAGUUAAGCUCUUAGGUAUUAUCUUUGAUUAGUAGUAUUUGGAAGCAUUGUUUUCUUUAAUAUUUAGAGUAUCUUUCAUGUACCUAUUAUUUAAUUUAAUAAAAGCUUUAUAAUAUUAAAAAU